AUUAGGGUGCCUGAAAAAAGGAUUAUUUCGAUAAAAUAAACCAUGCAAUUUAGUCUUGCCCCUAAUC